CACAUGUGACGUAGUUUGACUCCGUGGCUACGAGAACGAACGCUGGCGGCAGGCCUAACACAUGCAAGUCGAGCGCACCUUCGGGUGAGCGGCGGACGGGUUAGUAACACGUGGGAACGUACCCUUUUCUAAGGAAUAAUCAUUGGAAACGAUGACUAAUGCCUUAUACGCCCUUCGGGGGAAAGAUUUAUCGGUAAAGGAUCGGCCCGCGGUAGAUUAGAUAGUUGGUGGGGUAAUGGCCUACCAAGUCUACGAUCUAUAGCUGGUUUUAGAGGAUGAUCAGCAACACUGGGACUGAGACACGGCCCAGACUCCUACGGGAGGCAGCAGUGGGGAAUCUUAGACAAUGGGCGAAAGCCUGAUCUAGCCAUGCCGCGUGAGUGAUGAAGGUCUUAGGAUCGUAAAGCUCUUUCGCCAGGGAUGAUAAUGACAGUACCUGGUAAAGAAACCCCGGCUAACUCCGUG
rnacentral:rRNA from 1 species